CCGAGCUCUCAGAGAAACGGGGAUAUUGUCCAUUCAAGAUGUUCGUGGAACCAACUGCAAGUGUAGAUCAAGAGUUACAGUUCAAGGACUUAUCAAGAGAGAGACAACGGACAUUGGAGAUGAAAAUUACAUGCUGGAAAAAAACUACAUGCUGGUAUAUUCUGAAAAAAAUCUAUACAGAAGGA
rnacentral:lncRNA from 1 species